GGCCAGUUAGCUCAGUUGGUUAGAGUGUGGUGCUAAUAAUGCCGAGGUCACAGGUUCGAUCCCUGUACUGGCCA